rnacentral:rRNA from 1 species
GCUGGCGGCAGGCUUAACACAUGCAAGUCGAGCGGUAGCGGAUCUAGCUUGCUAGAUGCUGACGAGCGGCGGACGGGUGAGUAACGCGUAGGAACCUGCCCAGUAGUGGGGGAUAGCCCGGGGAAACUCGGAUUAAUACCGCAUACGCUCUACGGAGGAAAGAGGGGGCUUCGGCUCUCGCUAUUGGAUGGGCCUGCGUGAGAUUAGCUAGUUGGUGAGGUAAUGGCUCACCAAGGCGACGAUCUCUAGCUGGUCUGAGAGGAUGAUCAGCCACACUGGGACUGAGACACGGCCCAGACUCCUACGGGAGGCAGCAGUGGGGAAUAUUGCACAAUGGGCGCAAGCCUGAUGCAGCCAUGCCGCGUGUGUGAAGAAGGCUUUCGGGUUGUAAAGCACUUUCAGUGGGGAGGAAGGCCUCGUAGUUAAUAGCUGCGAGGAUUGACGUUACCCACAGAAGAAGCACCGGCUAACUCCGUG